rnacentral:RNase_P_RNA from 1 species
UGAGUCGGUUGGGUGGUCGCGGCCGGGCAUGGACCCGGUCGAGGAAGGUCGGGACUCCGCAGGGCAGGGUGCUGGCUAACGGCCAGUCGGGGCGACCCGCAGGAAAGUGCCACAGAGAACAGACCGCCGAUGGACGGCUCCGGUCGUCACAGGUAAGGGUGCAACGGUGCGGUAAGAGCGCACCAGCGCCCGGGGUGACCCGGGCGGCUCGGUAAACCCCACUCGGAGCAAGGU